rnacentral:misc_RNA from 1 species
GUCAUUUUGAUCCUCACAUAAUGUUAUUAUUAGCAAAAGAAAAGCUAUCUGGAUACCCAAAUCAAGUUUAAUGCUUAAAUGUGACAUGCCAAAUGAAAUCCAGUCCUUUAAAACUAAUCAACCAGAUGCCAUUUCUGUUGAGCAAUGACAACAUUGGCAUCUACCACAAAUUUCUCUUUACUCAUCAUUCAGUAGUUAAUACAAAUACUUUUACUAAAACAAAUAAAAUUUCUACCAAGAAAGUAAGGAUUUGAAUCUGUUUAUCAGCAUUCCUCUGGUAGCAGAAGAAAAUGCAAUUCAAGGAAAUGCAGAUAAAAAGAUUGACAGGUAAGAGUCAUGGAAUCCAACAAAGCAACCGGGAAAAAAAUGUCAAUUUUAAGGGAGGUGGUUAAGCAAAUCAACAAAAGAAGUUAUGCACCAUCUGAUGACAACCAAAUUUCAUAUAUUUACAAGUGCAAAUGAGAGAAAAUGGCAAAACAAAACAUACCCAGAUGCCAAAAAUCUCAAAAUUUGUCAACAGAUUCCAGAAUUCAAUCGAACAAAUAAACUUAAUGCUACUAAGGGGGAAAAAAGCAAAAGAAAAAGCCAAUGAACACUCCCUCAAAAUUCCAAAAUGCAAAUCAAACAAAAUGAAAGGCAUGAAUAAAAUUAACAAAGAAGAGGAAAAGAGAAAAGCCAAAAGAAUAAGAACAAGAAAAGUAAUUGGACUUGGCGAAAAGAAACAAAAUUGAA